rnacentral:rRNA from 1 species
GUCUACAGCCAUGCCACCCUGAACAUGCCUGAUGUCUGAUCUUGGAAGCUAAGCAGGGUUGGGCCUCAUUAGCGCUUGGAUGAAAGACCACCUAGGAAGACCAGGUGCUGUAGGCA